ACCGCAAUUACUCUGUAGUGCCCCCCAAGUUUUUGGACAAGUUCUUAUCUCCUCCUCGAUCAGCAUUCUCCGCAGCCGUUCUCCUGCCAUUCUUCCCGUCAUUGUGCCCUUGUGAUGGAAACCCACAAAGCUGACCAAGAAAUCUCGCCGGAGUAGGAGCAGACUUGCGAAACUCAGGUCUCUCUCCCCCUCUAACUUUUAAUUGUUGGGUUAGUUUAGGUCAUCAUCCUUCCUCUCGCAAGUAUAUAGUGCACGGCCAUCUUGCGCUUUGUGGUUAGCUUUCGGUUUGUUUCCGAGACAAAUUUAUUUGCUUUGGUGCCGCUCUUUUUGAUUUAUGCUAACUACAUCAAAAGAACUCGAAAGACGCACACACAUCUUUCAAAUAAAAGUAGACUUUGUCAGAACCAUAGUUUGAUUUUGAUAUCUCCAGUAUGAUUAUAGGCAUUUUUGCUUAAUGAAGCAAGGUAAUAAAGAGGCAGGGCACAAUGUGUGUUAUGCCCAAAAUUUAACUAUGAGUAUAUAUGAAAUGGUACAACCCUCUAAGGGCUUGACCUAUAUGAGAGGGCGUAGCCCUCGGAGGUGUGACCUCUAUGAGAGGCUUGACCUCUAUGAGAGGGCGUAGCCCUCGGAGGUGUGACCUCUAUGAGAGGCUUGACCUCUAUGAGAGGGCGUAGCCCUCGGAGGGCUUGGCCUAUGUGAUAAGGCGCGGCCCUCGGAGGCUUGACCUCUAUGAAAGGACGUAGCCCUCGGAGGGCUCGGCUUAUGUGAUAGGGCGCGGCCUUCAGAUGGCUCAGCCUAUGUUGAAGGGCGCGGCCCUCGGAGGCUUGACCUCUAUGAAAGGACGUAGCCCUCGGAGGGCUCGGCUUAUGUGAUAGGGCGCGGCCUUCAGAUGGCUCAGCCUAUGUUGAAGGGCGCGGCCCUCGGAGGCUUGACCUCUAUGAAAGGACGUAGCCCUCGGAGGGCUCGGCUUAUGUGAUAGGGCGCGGCCUUCAGAUGGCUCAGCCUAUGUUGAAGGGCGCGGCCCUCGGAGGCUUGACCUCUAUGAAAGGACGUAGCCCUCGGAGGGCUCGGCUUAUGUGAUAGGGCGCGGCCUUCAGAUGGCUCAGCCUAUGUUGAAGGGCGCGGCCCUCGGAGGCUUGACCUCUAUGAAAGGACGUAGCCCUCGGAGGGCUCGGCUUAUGUGAUAGGGCGCGGCCUUCAGAUGGCUCAGCCUAUGUUGAAGGGCGCGGCCCUCGGAGGCUUGACCUCUAUGAAAGGACGUAGCCCUCGGAGGGCUCGGCUUAUGUGAUAGGGCGCGGCCUUCAGAUGGCUCAGCCUAUGUUGAAGGGCGCGGCCCUCGGAGGCUUGACCUCUAUGAAAGGACGUAGCCCUCGGAGGGCUCGGCUUAUGUGAUAGGGCGCGGCCUUCAGAUGGCUCAGCCUAUGUUGAAGGGCGCGGCCCUCGGAGGCUUGACCUCUAUGAAAGGACGUAGCCCUCGGAGGGCUCGGCUUAUGUGAUAGGGCGCGGCCUUCAGAUGGCUCAGCCUAUGUUGAAGGGCGCGGCCCUCGGAGGCUUGACCUCUAUGAAAGGACGUAGCCCUCGGAGGGCUCGGCUUAUGUGAUAGGGCGCGGCCUUCAGAUGGCUCAGCCUAUGUUGAAGGGCGCGGCCCUCGGAGGCUUGACCUCUAUGAAAGGACGUAGCCCUCGGAGGGCUCGGCUUAUGUGAUAGGGCGCGGCCUUCAGAUGGCUCAGCCUAUGUUGAAGGGCGCGGCCCUCGGAGGCUUGACCUCUAUGAAAGGACGUAGCCCUCGGAGGGCUCGGCUUAUGUGAUAGGGCGCGGCCUUCAGAUGGCUCAGCCUAUGUUGAAGGGCGCGGCCCUCGGAGGCUUGACCUCUAUGAAAGGACGUAGCCCUCGGAGGGCUCGGCUUAUGUGAUAGGGCGCGGCCUUCAGAUGGCUCAGCCUAUGUUGAAGGGCGCGGCCCUCGGAGGCUUGACCUCUAUGAAAGGACGUAGCCCUCGGAGGGCUCGGCUUAUGUGAUAGGGCGCGGCCUUCAGAUGGCUCAGCCUAUGUUGAAGGGCGCGGCCCUCGGAGGCUUGACCUCUAUGAAAGGACGUAGCCCUCGGAGGGCUCGGCUUAUGUGAUAGGGCGCGGCCUUCAGAUGGCUCAGCCUAUGUUGAAGGGCGCGGCCCUCGGAGGCUUGACCUCUAUGAAAGGACGUAGCCCUCGGAGGGCUCGGCUUAUGUGAUAGGGCGCGGCCUUCAGAUGGCUCAGCCUAUGUUGAAGGGCGCGGCCCUCGGAGGCUUGACCUCUAUGAAAGGACGUAGCCCUCGGAGGGCUCGGCUUAUGUGAUAGGGCGCGGCCUUCAGAUGGCUCAGCCUAUGUUGAAGGGCGCGGCCCUCGGAGGCUUGACCUCUAUGAAAGGACGUAGCCCUCGGAGGGCUCGGCUUAUGUGAUAGGGCGCGGCCUUCAGAUGGCUCAGCCUAUGUUGAAGGGCGCGGCCCUCGGAGGCUUGACCUCUAUGAAAGGACGUAGCCCUCGGAGGGCUCGGCUUAUGUGAUAGGGCGCGGCCUUCAGAUGGCUCAGCCUAUGUUGAAGGGCGCGGCCCUCGGAGGCUUGACCUCUAUGAAAGGACGUAGCCCUCGGAGGGCUCGGCUUAUGUGAUAGGGCGCGGCCUUCAGAUGGCUCAGCCUAUGUUGAAGGGCGCGGCCCUCGGAGGCUUGACCUCUAUGAAAGGACGUAGCCCUCGGAGGGCUCGGCUUAUGUGAUAGGGCGCGGCCUUCAGAUGGCUCAGCCUAUGUUGAAGGGCGCGGCCCUCGGAGGCUUGACCUCUAUGAAAGGACGUAGCCCUCGGAGGGCUCGGCUUAUGUGAUAGGGCGCGGCCUUCAGAUGGCUCAGCCUAUGUUGAAGGGCGCGGCCCUCGGAGGCUUGACCUCUAUGAAAGGACGUAGCCCUCGGAGGGCUCGGCUUAUGUGAUAGGGCGCGGCCUUCAGAUGGCUCAGCCUAUGUUGAAGGGCGCGGCCCUCGGAGGCUUGACCUCUAUGAAAGGACGUAGCCCUCGGAGGGCUCGGCUUAUGUGAUAGGGCGCGGCCUUCAGAUGGCUCAGCCUAUGUUGAAGGGCGCGGCCCUCGGAGGCUUGACCUCUAUGAAAGGACGUAGCCCUCGGAGGGCUCGGCUUAUGUGAUAGGGCGCGGCCUUCAGAUGGCUCAGCCUAUGUUGAAGGGCGCGGCCCUCGGAGGCUUGACCUCUAUGAAAGGACGUAGCCCUCGGAGGGCUCGGCUUAUGUGAUAGGGCGCGGCCUUCAGAUGGCUCAGCCUAUGUUGAAGGGCGCGGCCCUCGGAGGCUUGACCUCUAUGAAAGGACGUAGCCCUCGGAGGGCUCGGCUUAUGUGAUAGGGCGCGGCCUUCAGAUGGCUCAGCCUAUGUUGAAGGGCGCGGCCCUCGGAGGCUUGACCUCUAUGAAAGGACGUAGCCCUCGGAGGGCUCGGCUUAUGUGAUAGGGCGCGGCCUUCAGAUGGCUCAGCCUAUGUUGAAGGGCGCGGCCCUCGGAGGCUUGACCUCUAUGAAAGGACGUAGCCCUCGGAGGGCUCGGCUUAUGUGAUAGGGCGCGGCCUUCAGAUGGCUCAGCCUAUGUUGAAGGGCGCGGCCCUCGGAGGCUUGACCUCUAUGAAAGGACGUAGCCCUCGGAGGGCUCGGCUUAUGUGAUAGGGCGCGGCCUUCAGAUGGCUCAGCCUAUGUUGAAGGGCGCGGCCCUCGGAGGCUUGACCUCUAUGAAAGGACGUAGCCCUCGGAGGGCUCGGCUUAUGUGAUAGGGCGCGGCCUUCAGAUGGCUCAGCCUAUGUUGAAGGGCGCGGCCCUCGGAGGCUUGACCUCUAUGAAAGGACGUAGCCCUCGGAGGGCUCGGCUUAUGUGAUAGGGCGCGGCCUUCAGAUGGCUCAGCCUAUGUUGAAGGGCGCGGCCCUCGGAGGCUUGACCUCUAUGAAAGGACGUAGCCCUCGGAGGGCUCGGCUUAUGUGAUAGGGCGCGGCCUUCAGAUGGCUCAGCCUAUGUUGAAGGGCGCGGCCCUCGGAGGCUUGACCUCUAUGAAAGGACGUAGCCCUCGGAGGGCUCGGCUUAUGUGAUAGGGCGCGGCCUUCAGAUGGCUCAGCCUAUGUUGAAGGGCGCGGCCCUCGGAGGCUUGACCUCUAUGAAAGGACGUAGCCCUCGGAGGGCUCGGCUUAUGUGAUAGGGCGCGGCCUUCAGAUGGCUCAGCCUAUGUUGAAGGGCGCGGCCCUCGGAGGCUUGACCUCUAUGAAAGGACGUAGCCCUCGGAGGGCUCGGCUUAUGUGAUAGGGCGCGGCCUUCAGAUGGCUCAGCCUAUGUUGAAGGGCGCGGCCCUCGGAGGCUUGACCUCUAUGAAAGGACGUAGCCCUCGGAGGGCUCGGCUUAUGUGAUAGGGCGCGGCCUUCAGAUGGCUCAGCCUAUGUUGAAGGGCGCGGCCCUCGGAGGCUUGACCUCUAUGAAAGGACGUAGCCCUCGGAGGGCUCGGCUUAUGUGAUAGGGCGCGGCCUUCAGAUGGCUCAGCCUAUGUUGAAGGGCGCGGCCCUCGGAGGCUUGACCUCUAUGAAAGGACGUAGCCCUCGGAGGGCUCGGCUUAUGUGAUAGGGCGCGGCCUUCAGAUGGCUCAGCCUAUGUUGAAGGGCGCGGCCCUCGGAGGCUUGACCUCUAUGAAAGGACGUAGCCCUCGGAGGGCUCGGCUUAUGUGAUAGGGCGCGGCCUUCAGAUGGCUCAGCCUAUGUUGAAGGGCGCGGCCCUCGGAGGCUUGACCUCUAUGAAAGGACGUAGCCCUCGGAGGGCUCGGCUUAUGUGAUAGGGCGCGGCCUUCAGAUGGCUCAGCCUAUGUUGAAGGGCGCGGCCCUCGGAGGCUUGACCUCUAUGAAAGGACGUAGCCCUCGGAGGGCUCGGCUUAUGUGAUAGGGCGCGGCCUUCAGAUGGCUCAGCCUAUGUUGAAGGGCGCGGCCCUCGGAGGCUUGACCUCUAUGAAAGGACGUAGCCCUCGGAGGGCUCGGCUUAUGUGAUAGGGCGCGGCCUUCAGAUGGCUCAGCCUAUGUUGAAGGGCGCGGCCCUCGGAGGCUUGACCUCUAUGAAAGGACGUAGCCCUCGGAGGGCUCGGCUUAUGUGAUAGGGCGCGGCCUUCAGAUGGCUCAGCCUAUGUUGAAGGGCGCGGCCCUCGGAGGCUUGACCUCUAUGAAAGGACGUAGCCCUCGGAGGGCUCGGCUUAUGUGAUAGGGCGCGGCCUUCAGAUGGCUCAGCCUAUGUUGAAGGGCGCGGCCCUCGGAGGCUUGACCUCUAUGAAAGGACGUAGCCCUCGGAGGGCUCGGCUUAUGUGAUAGGGCGCGGCCUUCAGAUGGCUCAGCCUAUGUUGAAGGGCGCGGCCCUCGGAGGCUUGACCUCUAUGAAAGGACGUAGCCCUCGGAGGGCUCGGCUUAUGUGAUAGGGCGCGGCCUUCAGAUGGCUCAGCCUAUGUUGAAGGGCGCGGCCCUCGGAGGCUUGACCUCUAUGAAAGGACGUAGCCCUCGGAGGGCUCGGCUUAUGUGAUAGGGCGCGGCCUUCAGAUGGCUCAGCCUAUGUUGAAGGGCGCGGCCCUCGGAGGCUUGACCUCUAUGAAAGGACGUAGCCCUCGGAGGGCUUGGCCUAUGUGAUAAGGCGCGGCCCUCGGAGGCUUGACCUCUAUGAGAGGGCGUAGCCUUCGGAGGGCUUGACCUCUAUGAAAGGGCGUAGCCCUCGGAGGGCUCGGCCUAUGUGAUAGGGCGCGGCCUUCAGAUGGCUCAGCCUAUGUUGAAGGGCGCGGCCCUCGGAGGGUUCGGCCUAUGUGAUAGGGCGCGAAUAUUGGAGUGAUGUGUGAAUUGUGAGUGAAAGAGUGAGUCUCAAUGAUGACCCUUCCGAGGGAUACGAAGACCUACCCCUCCGGGGGAUACGAAGACCUACCCUUCCGAGGGACAUGAAGACUAGUGUCGGGCUCAUCUGGUAGUUAUCAGGCUUAUCUGGUAGUUCCCAGGCUACAUCCGGGCAUGUUCUAUAAUCCUCAAUCUUGUUAUCUGCCGAGUUAACCCUCGUGUGGGGGCUUGAGGUGAUCAUGAUUGUUGAAGGCCCUAAGGGGUAACACGAAUGCCGAUCAUAUGUCUGAAUCCUGUAUUCUGGUGAGUUAGCCAUCAUUGGGGGAUUAAGACGAUCGUGUAACAUGGCUCCCUAAUGGUCUUACCUCUUAACGAGAACCUUCACCAGGGGGUAAGGACGCGUCCCUACACCUCAAGGAAUUGGUCACGGCUAUAUCAGACGUCUCCUCCAUGCUACGAAACGUAGCGGUUAGUGUUACCUCUCGUAGUGGAGAUAAUGUCGUAUACGUGAUGUACUUGGACUAGGAGUCUGAGGUAGUUGGCCUCAAGGCUUAAUUCUAACUGGAGUAGAACUCUGAAAGCAUUGGACGUCUAAGAGAUAAGUCACCACCUCAGGGUUAGUGUUAUCCCCAAGAGGCCUAGUCCUGAUCAAACUAGGAGUCUUGGUUCAACAGAACUACGUAUGGCUUGGUCCCCUAUAAAUAUAGGGGUACGUAGGCACAUUGAGGGAUCAUGAGUUGAGAGUACAAGGAGGCAAAUCAAAACCCUAAUCUCAGCCACCCCCUAAAACACACAACCACCACACUCCGGCAGCUAAAACCACCGUCAUAGAUCUUGAUUCUGACUAUGAACCUCAUCUUUGUUGAUUACCAAAUUCCUCCAUCAACAAUGCGCAACUAAGCAAGGAUACAAGUAUACAAUAUCAUGUUACGGCAAGCAACGAUGGAUGGUUAUUGAUAUCAAUAUAUUCACUUUAUAAAAAUUAAGUUAUUAAUUUAUAUUAAUUAAAAAAUUAAUAAAAUUAUUGUCAGAUUUGAGUUUUAUUUAUAUCAAAUCAAUAUAUAAUAUUUGUUUAUAAUAAAAAUUUAAACUCAUACCUUAAACUCCAAAGAUAUAUGGAUUUUUAAUAUCGGGAGGGAGAGGCGGGUAUUAUGAGAUUGAGACACAAGCAUAUAGCAUCAAGUAUCAGCAACCAACAAUAAGUUGUGAAGAUAAUCAACUAAUACACUUGUAAACACGCAUUAGUAAUUAUUUUAUUGCAUUUCAAGCCUGAGGUAAAAGAGAGAGAGAGAGAGAGAGCCACAACAAUCCUAUAUAUGAUUCUUUGCCACUGAAUAUCUAUCUUCUAGAGCACAAAUAUUUUUGCCUAGAAGAUGGCUGACAUGUAAUCAAGGGCAUUUGUUUAAACUUAUAACGGGUUCCAUACUCGCUGCCAAAAUGGUGUACCAAUGACAAAGCUGGAUUGUGCAUAAAAGGUACAAUAUAAGCAAUGUCAUUUUGUGUUAGGUGCUCCCUAAUUUGUGGGUCUGGAGGAGAAUAUGAAUCAUAAUGCAUAUGUUUGAAGUCAUUAUACCACCCUUCAUCAGUAUACAGAGUUACCUGUACAAUAGCAAGAGUUCAAGUAGUCAGCUAUAUAUAUAUAUUAAUAACAGAAGCUUUAUACCUUCAAUAAUUAAACACAAUCAACUUAAUUAUUAAAGGACCAACUAUCACUCUAGCAUGGAACGGAGUUUUUCAUUGUAAUGUAGGGAGUCUCUCAAAUUCACCGCUGACAAGCGCAACACAUACCUAAUCAGAGUACCCUAAUGUUUUUACUUCAUUCUCCGUACAUUGCACACCUGAACAGUCUUUUACUCUAAAGCAAAUUGUUAGUUAUAAGAUUUUCGUGUUCUGUUAAUCAGGCAUAUUAUGAGUGACGAGAGCUUCUAGAGUUAGAUCUUCAUUUUGAAAAGUUAGCAAUGCCCUGGUGAACUUGAUAUCUUGCUUUGUAAUAUUGCCGGUACAUGACCUCACGUACAUGGCCUCACAUACAUGGUUAUUUGUUUGUGUGUAAAGUGCUUAACCACCUUUGGCUGUACUUUUUAGGUCACAAUGCAAGUGAUUCUGAUCCCGAAGAUUUGUUGCAGGAUUCUUGACAAAUAUUGAGUAGAAAAUCCUUUUCAUGACGUAAAUUAAGUUUUCACCUUUGAGUAGCGUAUUGAAGCACAUUUACUUCAUUUGCUCUUUGUUUUCUUAUAUUUUUCCUCUUUUCCCUCAACAUGUCCCUUUCCCCGCGGCUUUGGUAUUGUCACCGCAAAUUUGCGAACAAAACUGUGAAUUGUGUCGCCGUUCUCACUAGACAGACACACUUUACUUUAUUAAGUUGAAUGCAGUAUUAUGGGUUUUGAUAUUGUAGAAUCACAUGUAGGAAGAAUAUCUUGAUGUGUCAGUGUCUUGCCAAAUAUCUCAUACUGCUCUCUUGACAUUUAGCUUUUAAAUAGAGGCAAUAUUAUUUUCAUUGUCAGGUCAUGGUUGCAAGAUAUGAAUAAUCACACCCCUAUACCAAGCGUUUUAAGAAAGAGGAGUAAAAGGAAUUAAAGCAAAGGCGAAGAAAAAACGCUAUAAAAUACCAGAAUGGAUGUAAAGUUCAUUAAAAUACUUAAGAUGUUUGGUUGCAGUCAAGGUAUUUUUCAGAAGAAUGUGAAGGUGUCUCUUCAAUGGAAGCGAACAAUAGAAGUGAAGGAAGUAAAUAAUAUUAUAGUGAAAGAAGCCAACCACUACUUACUACAAGUAAUAACUUACUAAACUUUAUCUUUCUAUCCCAUUUUAACAUUAGAAGUAGAUAAAAUAGGGAUACGAACAUAUCAACACAAACUCAUAAUUAUACCUGAAAGCUCCACCUGAUGCGGUUAAUAUUAUGCGCCUAAAAGCACCUUCUGGUAAUCCUUGAAUACACUGAAGCAAAGUUCAAAGGAUGUUUAAGGAAAUCCUUAUAACUAGUAAUUUUAACAAUCAUCCGCAACGUGGUGUUAUAAUAAGCUAUAACAAUACACCUAGCAUGGUAAUGUGAUUCACAUUCAUAGAGUGACCAACACAAUUAGAAUGAAACUGAUUGAGCCAGCAUACCUGGAAAAUUGCAAAAUGCUCUGAAUCGGCAGGAAGAAUCUUUACUUUAUGCUUAUGUGCAAGAGGAAGGACAAAUGGACCACCAUCAAUUAGAGUAUCUUUAUUAGACAAGGCAAUAUCUUUUCCUGCUUCUAUAGCAGCUACUGUUUGAUAACAAACAGAAACAUUUUGAUUAGCAAUGGAAAAGAGAUGAAACCAACCAUGUCUCAAAUCUCAACAGCAACAUCUUUAAUUUAAAUACAUCUAUACAUCGAGAACGGCAUUUAGCAUGAAACCCAAUAGUGAAAAUUAUCCCAGAAAUGUACUUAAAGAAUUUUAGUAACUGUCACUCAAUAAAACAUAAUGUAUCUUCCCUUUAUUAAUUUCUUAGUACCAGAAUUACUGCCGGAAUUCCGGUAGAUAAACAGAAAAACAUUUGCAGGCGUUCAAAAAACCCUUCAAAAUAAUAAUACAUAUCCUUAAGAAAAUAUAUGAAAUUCUUCUCAUUUAUGCACAACAUGAAUCUUAUAAAAACCUGAUAUAUCAUAAUUAUAUGCAUGUGUAGAUAUCUUUUCAAUGCUUUACUGAUCUAGGUUUGAGCUUCUCUUCACUAUACAGUACUUACAGUUGGAGCAUUUUUAUUAACUUACUAGGAGUCUAAUAUUUUGUUUUAUAUUUAAGAGCUACCUAAGAGGCUUUUGGAGAUGCUCUUAAUGUUUCUUUACUGCAAUCUUUGAACUACGAGCCACUGAUCCAUAAAAUUUUGAUCCAUAAAAUUUGUGUACCCCACAUUUUGUUAAUAAUAAAAAUGAUGUCUCAUUUGAACCACAUAUCACCGCUCUCGAAUCUCAUAUCACUCCGCGAACUGUGGCUCUUAGUUUGUUUUACCAAACUCUUGUCUUUAUAAAAACCAAAUGCUUUCUCUUAUGUUUGCUCGUCAUAAAGUAUACAUUGUGGAACAGCGAGUAGGGCUCAUUAUGUCCUCUUAACAUCACGGAUUAAUCAGUUUGGUCAAACCUGAAGCCAAAAAUUAAUAUACAAAAACUAUGUCAUUCCAAGCACUUUGGGUUAAGGGAAGUUUACCAUAUAAUUUUAUUUGCAAGUGUUCAAAUAAAUUCUAAUACUUUUUUCCUUGUACAGGAAGUUAAGAACUGAGGUCCUCAAGUCGCGUUAGCUAGAAAUACAAAGGCAUCUGGCAUUAAUAUUGCAGUAAGUUUCAUCAGCUGUUAUACUCUAAUUUUCUGCAUUCCUCAUGUCUGGUCCGAUUUUAGAUAACUAAUAAAUCAUGUAUCAUUUAAUAGAGAAGUCUCUUGGUUUCGUUAAUACUGUUAUAUAAGCUCAUAGGCCAUUAAUAGUGCUCACAGUCUCAUUUUUUCUGUAGAUCUGUGAAAGGGGUAACGGUUAGGAUUGUUUCAAUUACACUCUCUUAUGUUUAAUUC
rnacentral:lncRNA from 1 species